UCACAGGUGGCUAUAUAAAGUCAAUCCGAUCAGAACACAUAUAAAUUCAUUACAACUUACAACUUCAGCAUCGGCAAGUUAAUCAUUGUAUCGACUGCAACAUGGCUGUCAAAAAUAUCUCUUUAUGUAUAUUUACUAUCUUGAUAUUAUUCAACGUUAUAUUUGCCCAAGAAGCUGAAGAGGACAAUGGAGAUAAAACUCGCAUGUCUCUUUCCAUUCCAUGGCUUCCCAAAAUAGCUGGUUGUGUCUUCAAUGCCGAGCCGGCUUCUACAUGUGUGGGAUGCGUAGCAGUCAGGUUUUGCCUUCCCAACAACAUCAGCAUAACUCAUAACUGCGGUAUUUUCAACCCAUAUUGUGAUGAGGGCCAGUGCUCGUCAUCUCCUAGUGCAUCAUGCAGUUCUUCCGGAUCCGAGUAAAUUAUAUCCAGGUUGUACGAAGAAGUAGCUAUGUCGACAUAUCUGAGAGUCUUUUUAUUGCAAAUUUAAAUUCUAUGUCGUGAAAAUAAAAUAUCGUAUAAUUAUUA